GCUUUUUCACCAGUGCUUAUACUAAAAUUGGAACAGUACAGAGAAGAUUAGUAUCACCCUUGUGCAAGGAUGAUACACAAAUUCAUGAAGUGUUCCGUAUUUAA